UACGUAGGGGGCAAGCGUUGUCCGGAAUCAUUGGGCGUAAAGCGCGUGUAGGCGGUUCGGUAAGUCUGCUGUGAAAGUCCAGGGCUCAACCCUGGGGAUGCCGGUGGAUACUGUCGGGCUAGAGUGCGGAAGAGGCGAGUGGAAUUCCCGGUGUAGCGGUGAAAUGCGCAGAUAUCAGGAAGAACACCCGUGGCGAAGGCGGUUCUCUGGGACGGUACUGACGCUGAGACGCGAAAGCGUGGGGAGCGAACAGG
rnacentral:rRNA from 1 species